UACAGAGGUCCCAAGCGUUGUUCGGAUUCACUGGGCGUAAAGGGUGCGUAGGCGGUCGGGUAAGUCUGAUGUGAAAUCUCACAGCUUAACUGUGAAACUGCAUUGGAUACUAUCCGGCUAGAGGAAUGGAGGGGAGACUGGAAUACUUGGUGUAGCAGUGAAAUGCGUAGAUAUCAAGUGGAACACCAGUGGCGAAGGCGGUUGCCUGGAGCUUGCUGACGCUGAUGCGCGAAAGCGUGGGGAGCGAUCCGGAUUGAGAAACCCGUA
rnacentral:rRNA from 1 species